GUAACUGCUAUUUGGUAAGUUUCAACUUAGGCUCACAAAACCAGUUAAUUAUAGAGAGUCAACUGUCUUCCCUGAAUACUCUCUGAUUUUGUCUUUGUUUUAAUUCAAGCAACAGUCUUUACAGCAAUGUGAUUUAUUGUAACUAAGUGCUAGUUGAUGGUGCUCCUCAUGCUAAGUGCAGAUGUUGGUCUUUGCAAAAGUCAAAUAGAAGAUAUUUUCACUUUAAGAUGACUCUAUUUUCAAAAGCUAGAGGUAUCACCAUUUUUUUUCCUGACAGAUCAUGUCAUGGCACACAAGAAAUGUGAUUCUGCAGAACUGCGCAAUCCAAAGAUAAUGAAAAUUCAUAAAGAAUUGAUAAAAAACAGAGGAAGUAUUAGGGAUAUUCCUGAAGAAGCUGUAUCAGUAGGGGAGUUUCUAUUACAGGUUGUGUCCUUUGCAUGAGAUGGGCUGUCUGGUAGCUUAUAGCACCAGGCCUGUGAUGGAGGUGGAGCAGAGCCAUUCUUCACUAGCAUGGAUUUGGGAGAUUGGCCCAUGAUUGAAACAGAGUGCACAUGGGACUGGGGAGCCUUUCCUUACUCUGCCUGUCUGCCUGAGGUAUGUUCCCUGUCUCAGUUCUCCAUCAGUACAAGAGAAGAUAUUUUCCAAUAGAUAUACUGCU
rnacentral:lncRNA from 1 species